rnacentral:lncRNA from 1 species
CCAGCCUCCGGGCCCCUCCUCCAGAGGCAGGCUCUUCUCUCUCCCCUCCCCCGCCGUCUCCACAGCCACCAGGCCACCAGGGACAGCAGCCAAGCAGAGCCGACACCAGUGGUCCCCACGCGGUGCUGCACAAACGGCUCCCCGAGGCCGGCAGCACCCGGGCUCUCGGAAGCCACGGCUCCUCGCAUCAGGCCUCAGGGAGGCUCGGGGACGUUCUGGGCGAGGCCGUCAAGCCCGGCCUCCAGGCGUCAGGAGCCACAGCGCCCUGAGCUCCGUGAUCACGGCCCACAGCUGCCGGUGCGUCGCGGCACAUGGAGCCCUGCAGCCGCGCAGGAGGAGGAGGGCGGGAAGGAGGAGGCAGGUCGCCGUAGAGGUACGGCCACGGAGGAAGGCUGUCCCACCAACACAACACAGUGUUCCAACGCUGCGAACGCGAGGGAGACAGACACGCGUAGAUAAAGGCACAGCUACGGAGGGAAUUUUCGGUGGAUCCUUUGAAGUUCAGCCAGAGCACAACCCCUGCCCACAUCUAGGGCUGCCCUUCGCCAGGCUGGGCCCGUGGGCACCGGCCAGGCCUGCCCGGCGGGAGCCACAAGGCGACCGGCACCCCGAAACGUGCUCGACGAAGCGGGGGUCCCGCUGGAAUUCCUCCCUCACUGGGAGUCGGUGGGGAAGUCAGGUGAAAAUACCCACCAUUCGUUCAUCAUCAGUUUACCCUGUUCAGUUGAGCAGGAGAAGAGGGACCUGCCACGGCAGGUGUUUGUCGACGACGGGGUGUGAGGCUCCCCCCGGACUAGGGGCAGCUUUGUCCUGAGGCCGAGGCCCCAGGUCUUCUCCUCCACGCAGCGCCCUCUCACAGCCCCGGAGAAGCGGGGGCGUCUUCAGUUUCUCUCAAACCGUGAGCAAAGCUCGUUUGGGGCACUUUGCAGAUACAUGCUGACAACCAUGUGCUAAAUAACCUUAAUUAAAAUUAAACACUGUGUCUGAGUCAGUACAGGUACACAGACACAGAGUCUUAGAAAGACAGACACGCUCCAGCCGCUGCGCAGGGUCCGUGGUGGGGGACUCCGCGGUCGGAGCGCGGCCACGUCUCCACGGCUAGUCACCACGUCCCUUACAG